rnacentral:rRNA from 1 species
GAUGAACGCUGGCGGCGUGCUUAACACAUGCAAGUCGAACGGAAAGGCCUCUGCUUGCAGGGGUACUCGAGUGGCGAACGGGUGAGUAACACGUGGGUGAUCUGCCCUGCACUUCGGGAUAAGCCUGGGAAACUGGGUCUAAUACCGGAUAGGACAAUGGUUUGGAUGCUGUUGUGGAAAGUUUUUCGGUGUGGGAUGAGCUCGCGGCCUAUCAGCUUGUUGGUGGGGUAAUGGCCUACCAAGGCGUCGACGGGUAGCCGGCCUGAGAGGGUGUACGGCCACAUUGGGACUGAGAUACGGCCCAGACUCCUACGGGAGGCAGCAGUGGGGAAUAUUGCACAAUGGGCGCAAGCCUGAUGCAGCGACGCCGCGUGGGGGAUGACGGCCUUCGGGUUGUAAACUCCUUUCGCUAGGGACGAAGCGUCUUUGUGACGGUACCUGGAGAAGAAGCACCGGCUAACUACGUG